CGCUUUUUUCCCCUGGGAUAAUGGAAUAGGACGUGCGGUUCUAUUUUGUUGGUUUCUAGGACCGCCGUAAUGAUUAAUAGGGAUAGUCGGGGGCGUCAGUAUUCAGCUGUCAGAGGUGAAAUUCUUGGAUUUGCUGAAGACUAACUACUGCGAAAGCAUUCGCCAAGGAUGUUUUCAUUAAUCAGGGAACGAAAGUUAGGGGAUCGAAGACGAUCAGAUACCGUCGUAGUCUUAACCAUAAACUAUGCCGACUAGGGAUCGGACGGGAUUCUAUGAUGACCCGUUCGGCCCCUUACGAGAAAUCAAAGUUUUUGGGUUCUGGGGGGAGUAUGGUCGCAAGGCUGAAACUUAAAGAAAUUGACGGAAGGGCACCACAAGGCGUGGACCCUGCGGCUUAAUUUGACUCAACACGGGGAAACUCACCAGGUCCAGACAAAAUAAGGAUUGACAGAUUGAGAGCUCUUUCUUGAUCUUUUGGAUGGUGGUGCAUGGCCGUUCUUAGUUGGUGGAGUGAUUUGUCUGCUUAAUUGCGAUAACGAACGAGACCUCGGCCCUUAAAUAGCCCGGUCCGCAUCUGCGGGCCGCUGGCUUCUUAGGGGGACUAUCGGCUCAAGCCGAUGGAAGUGCGCGGCAAUAACAGGUCUGUGAUGCCCGUUGAG
rnacentral:rRNA from 2 species